GCGCGGUUAGUCCAGUUGGUAGGACGUCAGCUUGCCAAGCUGAAGGUCGCGGGUUCAAAUCCCGCACCGCGCA
rnacentral:tRNA from 2 species